rfam:Bombyx mori DNA, contig: Bm_scaf315_contig42506, strain: p50T/Dazao, build 2, whole genome shotgun sequence.
UUAGCUCAUAUUUGUAUGGAAUGGGAUCGUUUGCGUACGUUUGCCGCUAGGGGCGCUGUUCCAACUGCAUACAAAGUUGGGUUA